rnacentral:rRNA from 1 species
AUACGGAGGAUCCGAGCGUUAUCCGGAUUUAUUGGGUUUAAAGGGAGCGUAGGUGGAUUGUUAAGUCAGUUGUGAAAGUUUGCGGCUCAACCGUAAAAUUGCAGUUGAAACUGGCAGUCUUGAGUACAGUAGAGGUGGGCGGAAUUCGUGGUGUAGCGGUGAAAUGCUUAGAUAUCACGAAGAACUCCGAUUGCGAAGGCAGCUCACUAGACUGUUACUGACACUGAUGCUCGAAAGUGUGGGUAUCAAACAGGAUUAGAUACCCUGGUAGUCCACACAGUAAACGAUGAAUACUCGCUGUUUGCGAUAUACAGUAAGCGGCCAAGCGAAAGCAUUAAGUAUUCCACCUGGGGAGUACGCCGGCAACGGUGAAACUCAAAUGAAUCGGCGGGG